GUCUAAGGCCAUACCAUUCUGAACGUGCUUGAUCUCAUCUGAUCUCAGAAGCUAAGCAGGGUUGGGCCUGGUUAGUAGUUGGAUGGGAAACCAAUGAGGAUGAAGAGUAGGAUGGGUGGACG
rnacentral:rRNA from 1 species